UAACAGAUUAAUGUUUAAAAAACUUUAGUGUAGUAUUUUAUCUGGUGCUAGUGUACAUGUUUCUUCUGAUGAAAAUCGCUCAAAUGUUUUUAUUAAAGUGUUUAUUAGAGGAAGCUCAUACUUUGGACAAUUUUGAGUUGCGUCGACAAGCCUAUGAAAUUCGUAGUUUGUCUCUAUUGACCCGAGAUGAUAACUAUGUCAGCGUAUAAAGUCUUUCGAAGCAAUUAAUCGACCAACUCGAGCUUGAGUUGCUCCCUAUAAUAAAAAAGUACGAAACGUCGAAGAAAAGGACUUACAACUCGUAUUAAGGUUUCAUGAAAAAUUCAUCAUUGGCAGCAUUGAUGGCACUAUCAUAACUUAAAAAGACCGGCUGAGCAUGAAGAGCGCUUCUUCUGUCGUAAGAAUGAUCAUGCUAGGAUGUGCAAUUGACAACAUUUCAUUUUUACUAAGGUGCCUUAAAUCGAAAACCAUUUCGAGAUAUUUCUAUGAUUUACACAAAACACAUUUUUUCAGAUUUUUUAAUUCAGUAAUAAUAGAAAUAUAUUGAAAAAUCCACGAGGUCAGAAGAGGAAGGCAUAAUAAGUUCAGACCUUUACAUAAAAAUUAUAAAAAAAGUAAAUGUCAUACAUAACAUGACACUUUGUUUGCGACUUGUUUUAAAUACGCAUGCAAAGGUACAUUACAUUAUACUGCCUUCAUUCUAUCAAUGGCAGAAUCCAAUUUUCAAAAAAUAUUUUUUGUAACUUCUAGUGGAAAAAUCUUGAAAAGAAAAAAUACGUGUCUUCUAUUUAAACAAGUACUUUCGAAAUAGCACAAAAAAACCACGGCUUAAAAAUUUGAAAUGUUGUCAAUUGAAAAAAUAUCAUGUGCAAUUGGUAAGUGAAUUAGAAUCUCUUGUCCCGCUUGAUCAAACAUCUUAGAGGUACUCAAAUUAUUAUUUGAUGAUCAUCUCCCUAAUCUUAGACUAAGUACCUAUUUUUUAGAUUACAGAUGACAGUUUUAUUUUUAAUGAAGAUGUAAGAGAUCACUUAGGGCCUUUGAUAAAUGCUGGUGAAGAAAUUGUUUUCUUUGGUGGUUCUGGAUAUGCUGAGCGGGCUAACCUUAUGACACCUAUAAAUAAUGCCCCAGACAAUACACCUGAAACAUAUUAUAACAUGCUUGCGCAACUCCGUAGAACGCCAAAUGGUUUGUUGAAAAGACGCUUCAGGUGUUUGUUAGUACACAGGGUCCUAGACUAUCAUCCUGAUAAAGUUGCAAUGCAUGUUGUAUUCUGCAUAACGUGUUCAACCGGGCUGGAAUGGAGGUAGUUAAUUUGACUGAAGAUGAAAACCUAAAGGAAGCUCAGGUGGCAGCCGCGACACAGAGAAGGCAACAUGCCAAAUCAUGAUGAUUUAAAUGUUGGACGGUCGCAAAGGCCUCAAAGGACAAAGAAAAAAAAGUCAAAGAUCUUGUGAAUAGAUUGUGGUGAUCGCGUCGACGUUAACUCCACCUCAGUGUGAGAAGAGUAACAGAACCUUAGGACUAAAUAUUUUAAUUAUCUAUGUAGAUCUAGUUAUAGUACAUACUAAGGAAUAACAGGUAAUUUAGAGGUAUAGGUAUUAUAGUGAGUGUGUUGUUAUCAUAUAGAAUUACCUACUUUGUGUAAUGUUAUACAAUAAAAUUGUAUAUAAUAGGCUAUUAUUACUUUAGGGUCUGCUAUUAACUUCAAAAUUGUAUUUUAUGAAUAAAUAACGGUUUUAUAUUAUUAUUUAUAUUUAGUACAUAAGAACAUUGAAAAAAAAAGAUUGUAAUAUAAGUAAAACCAGAAAAGAAAUAACGAAUAAUAAUAAUAUAACGUAUAAUAAAAUCUACUUUAAAACUUGAAAAUAUAAAAUUACAAUUUAAAUACUUAUUUAUUUGACCACAGUUCAACCUAAUAGAUUCUGCUAGCGCAUUUAAUUCUUCCUCCACUGCCGCCACAGCGUUAGCGGCAAUUCCGUCUCUCUCAAUGCUGUGCUUCAUCAUGCUCGCCUUGACCGGUGCAUUGGGCCGCCGAAUUUCUAACUGCUGCUCUUCAACUCACUGAAAUCUGUAAGAGUAAUAGUAGUUUAUUUCAGCACAUCAAUGUAGUCAAAAUAACAUUAGAUCAAAUAAACUGAAAUACGUACUUCUGAAUGUCCACUGCUUUGUAUUAAAGAGGGAGGCUGGGGAACCAAUUGUAUUGGGUCUGAUUGCUGAAAAUAAAAUCAUGUACUUUA